CACACGUAUCAGCAGCCUUCUGUUACGUUGUUUGGCUGUUUUCAAGCUCAACAGUGACAAAAGGGCCAGGAGACCUGGGUGUAAUUCUUGACUUCAGCAUGUACCUGCCGUGGGGCUGCGGCCCAGGAAGAUAUGGAGGUUACUCAGUCUGCAAGAAGGAAGCACUUUUCUUCAAAAUACCCAUAAUUUAACCAAAAUUUAACAACUGCCAUGAAAAGUCCAAUAAAUGGGUAUGUGCACCAUCUCCUCCUCCCUGGCCUGGGACCUCCACUCUUUUGGAGUCAUCUCCCUGGGGUACCCGCAGGACAUACAAUGGAUUCACCUUGCAUUGCGUGGGCCUCCCUGCAGAAGGCACACUGAGAAGCAAAGGUAGAGAGAGCUAGGAGUUCUCCUUGGAAUGUUUUACGUAAUAUAAUACCGAUGCUAAAAAUACACAGAAUGCCCUGUCCCUCUGGUUUUCUAUCAACUAUUAGCCAAUAAAUCUGUCUACUAACUCGACGGCAAAAGUAAUGAGCAUGUCAUAAGCUUCAGGGCACUGAUAAAAUUACUGAAUUCUGUGCUUAUGAUACUGAAUUAGCAAUAACCGUAAGAAUGAAAUAAAUGACGUAGCUGCAAGGAACUUCAGUAGCUUUCAGUAAUAGUAGCAUUUAAACAACCAUAUUUUAGAACUUAAAAAAAAACGUGGAAGUCUAAACAUGGUUCAUUUAAAUUAAAUCUCCACUCUCCAUUUCCAAAACAAACUCAAGCAUUAAGGAACCUACCUCCAUCCCUUGAUUAAUUGCUAAUUUUGCCACUCUCAUUGCAACAGGUCCCUAAAAUUCAAAUUAAAGAAAGAGACUUUAAUUAUUAUUUAUGCAAAUUAUGUUGUGUAUCUCAGUAAAAUUCAGAAUUCCCACCACUGGAUCCAUGGCACAGCCAGCAAUGGCUGUCAGACACUAGACGGAAAAUUUUCUGAGCCUUGCAAGGCUGUAAUUAAAGAGCAACUGCAACAAUUGCAUCAGCACAUUAUUUAGAUUCCACAAUGUUCUGUUAUGCUGCAAACUCCGGAUCCUUAAAGGUGAGCAGGUAGCGCGUGUCCAGCUGUGAGCUUGCUGUUCUUCAGCAACACUUCCUAGAAGUUAAGUAGAGGAAGGAAAAGGAGGUAAGGCCUUCGCCUCAGUACCAUACCAGUUAGGGGUUUCCACAGAAGCUUGGGCUGGGGAUGAGGCUGUUGCUAUUGAUUAAGGUAGGGUUCUGCUAUCAUCUCUUUCAGACACUGGCUCUCUAUCUUUCCUCCGUUAGCCUUGAUAACUAAUAGUAAUGAUGGUGGAUUAAUCAAGAGUGUCCUCUAAGCAGUGCUCCCACAGCACAAAUAAAAUUGAAGUCUACAUAAGUCUUUCAGGAUGUAGGAGAGUCACUGAGGAACGAACUGGGUAUCUGCUGUGAGAAGGAAAAUGUUACCUGUGACUUGCAGAAGCCAAACUCUUACCAAGCUACCCUACCUCAGAUGGAAUUUCAUUAUUUGACCACAUUUUAAAGUCCUAAAUACUGUUUAUGGGUGAUGAAUGUGCAUCCAAUGCUAUAUUUUGAACUGAAUGCUCUUUUGAAUUAAAACACAAGGUAGUCUCUAAACAACAAGCACAGGAAAGGACUCCUGGAUGGUGACAUGGAUGAACGCAUGAAAAGACAUGUUUUCCUAUCAAGGAGUUUCUAUUAUUAAAUUUGACCUAUCUAAAUUUUCUUCUAAAUCAUGUUUACAAAUCUUUUUCAAAGGCCACAAUUUCCAAGGAUAUACUUGGUAGACAAGUAUCUUAUUGAUAAUUCUUCCCAUUGUGAUUUGCCUGUGUGGUAGACACCAAUACCAUUUUUUUUCAUCAUAAUCAAUCCAUUUCAUUAAACGGUGUGCUCCUCUAA